rnacentral:rRNA from 1 species
AUUGAACGCUGGCGGCAGGCCUAACACAUGCAAGUCGAGCGGCAGCGGGAAGUAGCUUGCUACUUUGCCGGCGAGCGGCGGACGGGUGAGUAAUGUCUGGGGAUCUGCCUGAUGGAGGGGGAUAACUACUGGAAACGGUAGCUAAUACCGCAUAACCUCGAAAGAGCAAAGUGGGGGACCUUCGGGCCUCACGCCAUCGGAUGAACCCAGAUGGGAUUAGCUAGUAGGUGGGGUAAUGGCUCACCUAGGCGACGAUCCCUAGCUGGUCUGAGAGGAUGACCAGCCACACUGGAACUGAGACACGGUCCAGACUCCUACGGGAGGCAGCAGUGGGGAAUAUUGCACAAUGGGCGCAAGCCUGAUGCAGCCAUGCCGCGUGUAUGAAGAAGGCCUUCGGGUUGUAAAGUACUUUCAGCGGGGAGGAAGGCGGUGAGGUUAAUAACCUCAUCGAUUGACGUUACCCGCAGAAGAAGCACCGGCUAACUCCGUGCCAGCAGCCGCCGCAG